rnacentral:rRNA from 1 species
GAUGAACGCUGGCGGCGUGCCUAAUACAUGCAAGUCGAGCGAACAGACGAGGAGCUUGCUCCCCUGACGUUAGCGGCGGACGGGUGAGUAACACGUGGAUAACCUACCUCUUAGACUGGGAUAACUUCGGGAAACCGGAGCUAAUACCGGAUAAUAUAUUGAACCGCAUGGAUCAAUAGUUAAACACGCCUUUGGUGUCAGAUAUAGAUGGUUCCGCGCCGCAUUAGCUAGUUGGUAAGGUAACGGCUUACCAAGGCAACGAUGCGUAGCCGACCUGAGAGGGUGAUCGGCCACACUGGAACUGAGACACGGUCCAGACUCCUACGGGAGGCAGCAGUAGGGAAUCUUCGGCAAUGGGCGAAAGCCUGACGGAGCAACGCCGCGUGAGUGAUGAAGGUCUUCGGAUCGUAAAGCUCUGUUGUUAGGAAAGAACAGAAGCAGAAGUAUAUAUGCCCGUCUUGACGGUACCUAAUGAGAAAGCCACGGCUAACUACGUG